GAUGAAAUUAGAAGAAAACCCAAAAUGAAGUCAAACCAAAGCAUUACAUAGAAUUGAUGAAAUGAACAUACCGUAGAGCUAUCUUCUUAUGAUUAUCAACGAGGAGAUAUGUGCCUUUAUCCAAGUAAGCCACAAAGAAGGUCAACACAAUAUCAAUGGCGAAGAAUGCAUCCACUACCAAAUCAACGGGUAAAAGAGACCCAGUCGCCACUUUCUUGAAGGCAAGCUCAAAGGGUGAUACCCACGCUGAGUAAACCACUAGUACUACCAGGAAAGUUUGCCACCACCUGCAUUCCAUCAUCAUUUAAAUUCCAAAAUGCCCAACCAAAGUGGUCCGCUCAUUUUCUCUCACCAAAAGCAAGUGUGUGUAUCCAUCGUUAACAACUGUUCCGAACGCCGGCAAGAGGCUGCUGGAAACUGACGUCAAAUUCUUUAUUUCGCCACUUGAGUGCCGCCGGAACAGCAAAGGCAUCGGCGACCUUGUUUCGGAGAUUGGCGUGGACAUUGUGUCUCACAACCUUCUGCAAAAUUUAUGAUCCAGAAAAAAAGAGAGUCAUUUCUCGUGCAUGCCUCGAAGACUUUUUAUAGACACAAAAAAGAGGAAGAGUUGACUCUUAAUUUCAGGACUUCAACAGGAGGGAAAAAAACGGAAGAUGUUGGGUUUAGGAACUGGAAAAAAGGCAAAUAUCUUUUACCAUACAUCCUCACGGUAAUUUUUAUACGGUAACUUUCUCUCUUCUUUGAAUGAAUAUUAUUCAAAUUCAGAUUCUCCUAUAUAUAUAUAUAUAUAUAUAAAAUACCUUAGAUUUACCGUGGGAGAGACUGGAAAAAAAGGGGAGAGAGAUAGAGAGAGAGAGAGAGAGAGAUGAAGAAAGAAGAAGCUUACUCAUAGGAAGGAAUGGGGAAAAUCCGAGGUAAGAAUAGGAUAUAUCAUUAAAUAAAAUAAUUGUGAAUGUGGAAUUAAUCCUAGAUCUAAUCAUAUUAUUCCUUUUUUUUUUCUUUCUAUUUUGAAUAGAAAAAAGAAAGUUAUUGAUGGUUUAUUAAUUGGUAUUGGUAUUGGUUGUUUUUGUUUUUGGUUUUUUAAUAGAAAAAUAUUUAGAGAUUUGUUGAACAUGGAAAGAAUUUUACUACUUUAUGCUCCGAUUUUUGCUGCUGUGACCUAUUUAGGCAUUAGAUUUUGUUUCCCCAUUUUAAUCAUCCAGUGUCUUGCAACUAAGACUACUGAUAUUUUAGGUUUGAUAAUUGUAUUUUGGAAGAGCUACCUGGCUGUA